AACGUAGGUGGCAAGCGUUAUCCGGAAUUACUGGGCGUAAAGGGUGUGCAGGCGGGGUUGCACGUGGGGUAUGAAAUAUUCCAGCUUAACUGGGAGGGGUUAUGCCAGACUGCAACUCUAGAGGACGAGAGAGGGGGGUGGAAUUCCGGGUGUAGUGGUGAAAUGCGUAGAGAUCCGGAGGAACCCCAGAGGCGAAGGCGGCCCCCUGGCUCGUACCUGACGCUCAGCCACGAAAGCAUGGGGAGCGAACGGG
rnacentral:rRNA from 1 species